GAGCAAAGUUAGCAAGUUGCAGCGCCUCUGCGUUCUGAUUCUAUGGAACCUUUUUGUAGGGAGAAGGGCAGGAUGUUUUUAACUGAAUGUGACCUCAGGGGAAUACUAGAGAAAAUAAUAAAAUUUCUGAAUGGGGCAGCGUGGAGAAAUCCUAAGAGAAAUAGCAUAAGAGCAUUUUGGAACACAUCCAGGAAAAGAUAACUUUCGACACACCUGUAGACGUUCGCCAGGUAAAGAUGGAGUUCCGCUCUUGUCGCCCAGGCGGAGUACAAUGGCACAGUCUCAGCUCACUGCAACCUCUGCCUCCUGGGUUCAAGCAAUUCUCGUGCCUCAGCCUCCCAAGUGGCUGGGAUUACAAGUGUCUGCCACCACGACCGGCUAAUUUUUGUAUUUUUGGUAGAGAUGGGGUUUCACCAUGUUGGCCAGGCUGGUCUCAGAAUCCUGACCUCAGGUGAUUCACCUGCCUCAGCCUCUCAAAGUGCUGGGAUUACAAGGCUUGAACCACUGUGUCCAGCCUCCUGCGUUUUUUUUUCAUUUCCC
rnacentral:lncRNA from 10 species